rnacentral:rRNA from 1 species
CCUACGGGGGGCUGCAGUGGGGAAUAUUGGACAAUGGGCGAAAGCCUGAUCCAGCCAUGCCGCGUGUGUGAAGAAGGCCUUCGGGUUGUAAAGCACUUUCAGUGGGGAAGAAAGCCUUGGGGCUAAUACCCUCGAGGAAGGACAUCACCCACAGAAGAAGCACCGGCUAACUCCGUGCCAGCAGCCGCGGUAAUACGGAGGGUGCGAGCGUUAAUCGGAAUUACUGGGCGUAAAGCGCGCGUAGGCGGUCUGAUAAGCCGGGUGUGAAAGCCCCGGGCUCAACCUGGGAACGGCAUCCGGAACUGUCAGGCUAGAGUGCAGGAGAGGAAGGUAGAAUUCCCGGUGUAGCGGUGAAAUGCGUAGAGAUCGGGAGGAAUACCAGUGGCGAAGGCGGUCUUCUGGACUGACACUGACGCUGAGGUGCGAAAGCGUGGGUAGCAAACAGGAUUAGAUACCCCGGUAGUC